UUGUUCCAGUGAGGAAAGGCUUGCUUUGGCUGUUCGCUAUCAGACAACAACUGGUUCUAUGAAGGCUGCUCAUUCUCCAGUGAGGAAAGGUUCAUAAUGAUGUUGUAACCUAUUUAUGAUUGAUGCCCUAAUCUUCUUCUAUUUCAAUUUUUUUUUCUUAGUGUCAGUGAAACCCUAAAUCUCCCCUGCAUUUGGGCUACAAAAAAACUCCCCUGCAUCUGGGCUACAAAAAAUUUCCUUGCAUCUGUGCUAGGAUCUACAUACAAGAAACCAUCAUCUCAGGGUUUAUCGGAUGCCAUCACCAGUGUAUUCUCUAAUGCUCAUCAAAGAUGUUUUGGGAGACAUCUGUACCAGAAAUUCAAGUUAGUUUUUUUAGGACAACUAUUUAAAAAACACUUUGGUCAGCAGUAUCAGCAACAACUCUCCUCCAGUUUGAGAAGGAAAUAAAUUCCAUCAAACAGAUAUCUGAUGAUGCAUACAGUUGGUUGAAUAAUCCUCUAAGAUUAUGGGUAAGAUAUGCAAUUGAUAUUAAAGCAAAGAGCCCUCAAAUAACCAACAAAAUGAUCGAGUCAUUCAACCAUUGGAUAUCAGAAGUGAGGGACCCACAUAUUAUGUUGGAAAUAUUCAAAAGGGUUGCAACUACUCAGUAGGUGGCCUAGUCACACCUGAUAUUAAGAAACAUUUAGAUAAGGUCCAACAAAAAGCAAAGAAAUGCAUAGUGUAUCAAGGUAACACACAUGCAUUUGAGGUGGUGGAUAUCCAUGGUGGCAGAGUUAUGGUUAAUUUGUAAGAGCAGACAUGUGGUUGUAGGCAAUGGGGUUGUACUGGGUUGCCAUGCAAAUAUGCAGCAGCAGCUAUCACACACACUAGAGGUCACUUGAAGCUACUAUAUUCCAUAUUAUAGUGUCAAUACAUACCUUCUAGCAUAUAUUAAGUUCAUCCAACCACUCCCAGCAUUGGCUAAUUUAGUAGUUGAUAGUUCUGAUGUGUUGGCCAAGCCUCCAUAUCUCAAAAGGAGGCUCGAUAGAUCUCAUAAAAACAAGAAAAGAGAAUUUGAUGAGGAUCCUACUGCAGAGUUCAAGAAGAAAUUAUCCAGUGUUAGAUGUGAUAUUUGCAAACUAGUAGGCCACAACAAGAGAACAUGUCCUCAACAUGGAGAACAACAGAAGAACAAGAAAAUAACAGGCAGGAAGAGAAAGCAAAGGGAUGAGAGUCAAUAUAAAGGCACCAACUCUCAAAUACUGACUAGGUCAUAAUCAUCUACCCAACCUACAAAGUUAACAACUCAAGAAAAAACCUUGGCUAGGAAAACUGUCAAGUAUGCAAAAUGAAAGGAAAAGUAGGCUAAGAAGAAAUAAGAAGAUGGAUGUUACUGUUGAUGAGAGCAUAAUGUCUCAAGAAGGAUGUUGCUGUCGAUGAGAGCACUUUUGUUUUUUUUUCUUUUCUUUUUUUUAAGGUCGUUGUAUGAAUGAAUUUUAAUGGGUUAUAGAACAAUUUUAAAGAGAGA